UACAGAGGUGGCAAGCGUUAUUCGGAAUUACUGGGCGUAAAGCGCGCGCAGGUGGUGCGGCAAGUGGCAGGUGAAAGCCCUCGGCUCAACCGAGGAACUGCCUGUCAGACUGCUGCGCUUGAGGCCGGGAGGGGGAAGCGGAAUUCCUGGUGUAGCGGUGAAAUGCGUAGAGACCAGGAGGAACACCGGUGGCGAAGGCGGCUUCCUGGACCGGUUCUGACAACCAUGCGCGAAAGCGUGGGGAGCAAACAGG
rnacentral:rRNA from 1 species